UACGGGAGGCAGCAGUGGGGAAUAUUGCACAAUGGGCGCAAGCCUGAUGCAGCCAUGCCGCGUGUAUGAAAAAGGCCUUCGGGUUGUAAAGUACUUUCAGUCGUGAGGAAGGUGUUAAGGUUAAUAACCUUAGCAAUUGACGUUAGCGACAGAAGAAGCACCGGCUAACUCCGUGCCAGCAGCCGCGGUAAUACGGAGGGUGCGAGCGUUAAUCGGAAUUACUGGGCGUAAAGGGCACGCAGGCGGUUAAUUAAGUUGGAUGUGAAAUCCCCGGGCUUAACCUGGGAAUGGCAUUCAAGACUGGUUAGCUAGAGUCUUGUAGAGGGGGUAGAAUUCCAUGUGUAGCGGUGAAAUGCGUAGAGAUGUGGAGGAAUACCGGUGGCGAAGGCGACCCCUGGACAAAGACUGACGCUCAUGUGCGAAAGCGUGGGGAGCAAACGAGGGAUUAGAUACC
rnacentral:rRNA from 1 species